GGCCUUGUAGCUCAGUGGUUAGAGCGCUGGUCUUGUAAACAGGGGUCAUGAGUUCAACUCUCAUCAGGGCCU